CCAAUAGCGUAUAUUAAAGUUGUUGCAGUUAAAAAGCUCGUAGUUGAAUUUCGGGAUCAAUAUGUUGGUCGUGCCUUGGUACGUACUGGCAUUAUCGAUUCCUACCUUCUGAAGAACCUCGAUGUCAUUAAUUUGGUGUCUUGGGAAAUCAGGACUGUUACUUUGAAAAAAUUAGAGUGUUUAAAGCAGGCUCGCGCUUGAAUACAUUAGCAUGGAAUAAUGAAAUAGGACGUUUGAUUCUAUUUUGUUGGUUUCUAGGAUCGACGUAAUGAUUAAUAGGGAUAGUUGGGGGCAUUAGUAUUCAAUUGUCAGAGGUGAAAUUCUUGGAUUUAUUGAAGACUAACUACUGCGAAAGCAUUUGCCAAGGAUGUUUUCAUUAAUCAAGAACGAAAGUUAGGGGAUCGAAGACGAUCAGAUACCGUCGUAGUCUUAACCAUAAACUAUGCCGACUAGGGAUCGGAUGAUGUUAAUUUUUUAAUGACUCAUUCGGCGCCUUAC
rnacentral:rRNA from 1 species